AACGAACGCUGGCGGCAGGCUUAACACAUGCAAGUCGAACGCCCCGCAAGGGGAGUGGCAGACGGGUGAGUAACGCGUGGGAAUCUACCUAGUUCUACGGAACAACAGUUGGAAACGACUGCUAAUACCGUAUACGCCCUACGGGGGAAAGAUUUAUCGGAAUUAGAUGAGCCCGCGUAAGAUUAGCUUGUUGGUGAGGU
rnacentral:rRNA from 1 species